rnacentral:rRNA from 1 species
UAGCAUAUCAAUAAGCGGAGGAAAAGAAACCAACAGGGAUUGCCUCAGUAACGGCGAGUGAAGCGGCAAGAGCUCAAAUUUGAAAGCUGGCUCCUUCGGGGUCCGCAUUGUAAUUUGCAGAGGAAGCUUCGGGAGCGGUCCCCAUCUAAGUGCCCUGGAACGGGCCGUCAUAGAGGGUGAGAAUCCCGUAUGGGAUGGGGUGUCCGCGCCCGUGUGAAGCUCCUUCGACGAGUCGAGUUGUUUGGGAAUGCAGCUCUAAAUGGGUGGUAAAUUUCAUCUAAAGCUAAAUAUUGGCCGGAGACCGAUAGCGCACAAGUAGAGUGAUCGAAAGAUGAAAAGCACUUUGAAAAGAGAGUUAAAAAGCACGUGAAAUUGUUGAAAGGGAAGCGUUUGCGACCAGACUCGCUCGCGGGGUUCAGCCGACUUUCGGGUCGGUGUACUUCCCCGUGAGCGGGCCAGCGUCGGUUUGGGCGGCCGGUCAAAGGCCCUUGGAAUGUAACGCCUUCCGGGGCGUCUUAUAGCCAAGGGUGCCAUGCGGCCUGCCCGGACCGAGGAACGCGCUUCGGCUCGGACGCUGGCAUAAUGGUCGUAAACGACCCGUCUUGAAACACGGACCAAGGAGUCUAACAUCUAUGCGAGUGUUCGGGUGUCAAACCCGUGCGCGCAGUGAAAGCGAACGGAGGUGGGAACCCCUCGGGGUGCACCAUCGACCGAUCCUGAUGUCUUCGGAUGGAUUUGAGUAAGAGCAUAGCUGUUGGGACCCGAAAGAUGGUGAACUAUGCCUGAAUAGGGCGAAGCCAGAGGAAACUCUGGUGGAGGCUCGCAGCGGUUCUGACGUGCAAAUCGAUCGUCGAAUUUGGGUAUAGGGCGAAAGACUAA